rnacentral:rRNA from 1 species
GACGAACCGUCCAAACGUUAUUCGGAAUUACUGGGCUUAAAGGGUGCGUAGGCGGCUCUGCAAGUUGGGUGUGAAAUCCCUCGGCUCAACCGAGGAAUGGCGCCCAAAACUGUGGAGCUCGAGGGAGACAGAGGUGAGUGGAACUUGUGGUGGAGCGGUGAAAUGCGUUGAUAUCACAAGGAACACCGGUGGCGAAAGCGGCUCACUGGGUCUCUUCUGACGCUGAGGCACGAAAGCUGGGGGAGCGAACGGGAUUAGAUACCCCCGUAGUCCCUGA